AAAACGUGGGCUUUUUCUAAAAUGUUUGCAACCUUUGCUCCUUUCUUUGUUAUCUAUUGCUUUCUAUCUUGAACCGUAUCUCCUUCCUCUGUUUUCUUUUCUUGCCUUUUUCUUGAAGAAAGUAUCAAAAGCCAUCUAAUUCUAAUUUGGCCUUUCUCUCCCGAGCAACCUUCAAGUUGGCCCAACUUCCUUCACCCUUCUGUGGCUGUCAUCUGUCUUCUCCUGGAGAGAGCACGCACGAAACGUGAGCAUCACCACUCCACCUGCUCCCCACCUUUCCCCUCCUUCCCAUCCAAAUCGACGCCCAAAUCGUCGUUCUCCGCUCCGGCCGCCACGCACCGGCGAGGUCUCCGACCGCCUCCGACCUGCUCCGUCCUUUCCGAGACCAUCAGUGUGUUCCUGGUUUUCAUCGGAGUUCUUCUAGUCCUUGCCGUCGUCAUGGUCGCCGUCGCGCUGGGCUAGGGCCGGGUUCGCGUUUCCCAACAUCUCCUCGUUCGAUUCCGACCAGUAGCGCAGCCCGGAAGCCUCACCCUCGACUUCCUCUUCCUCGACACCGAUGGACGCUGUCCCUGCUUCGCCUCCCUGUUCGCCCAGUCUUCAGUUUCGUCAGCAUUUGCUUCUUCUCGGAUAGGAUCGCGAAGUGGUGCGGUGAGAUACGCCAAGUUCUCCGGAUGUUCCUCGGCAAGCUAUAACAGGCAAGC